rnacentral:rRNA from 1 species
UAGGGAAUCUUCGGCAAUGGACGGAAGUCUGACCGAGCAACGCCGCGUGAGUGAAGAAGGUUUUCGGAUCGUAAAGCUCUGUUGUUAGAGAAGAACGUUGGUAGGAGUGGAAAAUCUACCAAGUGACGGUAACUAACCAGAAAGGGACGGCUAACUACGUGCCAGCAGCCGCGGUAAUACGUAGGUCCCGAGCGUUGUCCGGAUUUAUUGGGCGUAAAGCGAGCGCAGGCGGUUCUUUAAGUCUGAAGUUAAAGGCAGUGGCUUAACCAUUGUACGCUUUGGAAACUGGAGAACUUGAGUGCAGAAGGGGAGGGUGGAAUUCCAUGUGUAGCGGUGAAAUGCGUAGAUAUAUGGAGGAACACCGGUGGCGAAAGCGGCUCUCUGGUCUGUAACUGACGCUGAGGCUCGAAAGCGUGGGGAGCAAACAGG